UACGUAGGUGGCAAGCGUUAUCCGGAAUUAUUGGGCGUAAAGAGCGCGCAGGUGGUUAAUUAAGUCUGAUGUGAAAGCCACGGCUUAACCGUGGAGGGUCAUUGGAAACUGGUUGACUUGAGUGCAGAAGAGGGAAGUGGAAUUCCAUGUGUAGCGGUGAAAUGCGUAGAGAUAUGGAGGAACACCAGUGGCGAAGGCGGCUUCCUGGUCUGCAACUGACACUGAGGCGCGAAAGCGUGGGGAGCAAACAGG
rnacentral:rRNA from 1 species